UCUGCCCUUCACUCUGGGACAAGCCCUGGAAACGGGGUCUAAUACCGGAUAACACCUGCCCGGGCAUCUGGGUGGGUUAAAAGCUCCGGCGGUGAAGGAUGAGCCCGCGGCCUAUCAGCUUGUUGGUGAGGUAGUGGCUCACCAAGGCGACGACGGGUAGCCGGCCUGAGAGGGCGACCGGCCACACUGGGACUGAGACACGGCCCAGACUCCUACGGGAGGCAGCAGUGGGGAAUAUUGCACAAUGGGCGAAAGCCUGAUGCAGCGACGCCGCGUGAGGGAUGACGGCCUUCGGGUUGUAAACCUCUUUCAGCAGGGAAGAAGCGAAAGUGACGGUACCUGCAGAAGAAGCGCCGGCUAACUACGUGCCAGCAGCCGCGGUAAUACGUAGGGCGCAAGCGUUGUCCGGAAUUAUUGGGCGUAAAGAGCUCGUAGGCGGCUUGUCACGUCGGGUGUGAAAGCCCGGGGCUUAACCCCGGGUCUGCAUUCGAUACGGGCUAGCUAGAGUGUGGUAGGGGAGAUCGGAAUUCCUGGUGUAGCGGUGAAAUGCGCA
rnacentral:rRNA from 1 species